rnacentral:rRNA from 1 species
AACGAACGCUGGCGGCAUGCCUAACACAUGCAAGUCGAACGAGAUCUUCGGGUCUAGUGGCGCACGGGUGCGUAACGCGUGGGAAUCUGCCCUUUGGUUCGGAAUAACAGUUGGAAACGACUGCUAAUACCGGAUGAUGACGAAAGUCCAAAGAUUUAUCGCCAGAGGAUGAGCCCGCGUAGGAUUAGCUAGUUGGUGUGGUAAAGGCGCGCCAAGGCGACGAUCCUUAACUGGUCUGAGAGGAUGAUCAGCAACACUGGGACUGAGACACGGCCCAGACUCCUACGGGAGGCAGCAGUGGGGAAUAUUGGACAAUGGGCGAAAGCCUGAUCCAGCAAUGCCGCGUGAGUGAUGAAGGCCUUAGGGUUGUAAAGCUCUUUUACCCGGGAUGAUAAUGACAGUACCGGGAGAAUAAGCUCCGGCUAACUCCGUGCCAGCCGCCGCCGUAA